rnacentral:lncRNA from 1 species
GUGCUGUCCCCAAAGUCGGGGUCUGUCUCAGCUCUAACAGCAAAGCCGGUCUUUCUCCUGUCUCCACCCCCUUCCUCCUCAUGGUACUUGUACCUCUACUGAUUUUAUACUUGUUUAUUAAUCCUCAGGCUCCCCCCAGCAGAAUGUCAGCUCCUUGAGGGAUGGGAUCUUGUCUCAUUCUCUGCUGCAUCCUCAGCAGGGGGUAGGGUGCCUGGGACAUUGAGGUAUUCACCAACAGCUGUCAGGUCACCUGCCUGUCUCCUUGGAAAGUUAGCUCCAUGCAGGUUCAGCCUGGGCUGCCCUGCCUACCAUUGCCUCCCCAGUGCCCUCAUGGUGUACUCCAUGGAAGGUACCAGAGCUUAGAGCAAAGCCUAGCGCACAGGGCAUGCGAUGGUGAAUGAAUGGAUGAACAAACAAGAGCAUCAAUUUUGGGAUUAGACUGCCUGGGUUCACAUCCUCACCAGCUCUGACCCUUGGGCAAAUUAUUUAACCUAUCUGGGCCUCAGUUUCCUCAUCGAUAAAAUGGGGAUGAUCGUAGUGCCUACCUCAUGGGGUGGUUAUGUGGAUUAAAUGGUUUCAGGGAGUAUUCAAUAUCUGCAAGUGUGUAACAUACGAAUAUCACGUGAGAUUUUUGGGCAUAACUGAGCAAAUCCCAGCUCUUGAUGGGGUCUCAGGAGCAGUGGUGCAAAGAGCAGUGGGAACGGUAUUCCUGGCGGAGGGAACAGCAUCCACAGGAUGUUUUGGAGGGGGUCGGGUAAGAGGGGAUGUUUUGGGGGGGCAGGUAAGAGGGGAUGUUUUGGGGGGGAGUAAGAGGGGAGGGGAGAGAGAUGGACUGGCAGUGCCAGGGAGUGGCCGUCGGGCUGAACAUCCACAGAAACCAGACACGAAGAGGAGGCAAGCCAGGCCAGGGGGAAGCAUAAAGAGGAAGUGAACCAAAGCAGGGAGCGAGGACUGGUUUCACAAGACACUCAGUGUGAGGCUUCGAGAAGGCCAUGGAGAGAACAGACUCCGGACCCCCAGAGAGACUAUGAACUGACCACUGCAGCCCAAGGAGCACCUGCAGGGUUUAGGGGUCCAGGGCUGAGGCCUAGGACCAUCACCAUGGCAGUCACUGUCAUCUCCAUGACUACAAUCAUCACCUCCAUGACCAACCACCAUCACCUCCAUCAUCACCACUGUCAUGAGGGAAAUUGUGUCCUCCCAAAAAAUAGGUUCGGCCAGGCAUCAUGGCUCAUGCCUAUAAUCCCAGCACUUUGGGAGGUUGAGGUGGGUGGCUCACCUGAGGUCAGGAGUUCCAGACCAGGCUGGCCAAAAUGGUGAAACCCCGUCUCUACUGAAAAUACAAAAAAUUAGCCGGGCGUGGUGACGGGCGCCUGUAAUCCCAGCUACUUGAGAGGCUGAGGCAUGAGAAUUGCUUGUAUCCGGGAGGCGGCGGUUGCAGUGAGCCGAGAUCACGUCAUUGCACUCCAGCCUGGGCAACAAGAGCAAAACUCCGUCUCAAAAAAAAUAAAUAAAUAAAAGACAAAAAUGUUAGGUUCAAGUCCUAAGCC